ensembl:lncRNA
CAUUAGAGAAAGCUAAAAGCAAACAAAAACAACGCAAGGCAUCAAGCAAGAAAGAAAAAAAGGUUAUUUAAUUUGCAUGGGAGUUUUCUACCUCUUCUGAACAGGUCCACCCAUCUCUAUAUUUUUCCUCUUUAAAUGUUAAAGCAUCUGAACAUUUGUUCUGUCAGUUGAGAAAAAAUGGACUGACUUAAACCCAUCUUAGAUCCCCGGGGGAUAUCACAGGAAAAUAGGACAGCAGUGCUGAGAGGAAAAACUCCAUCUACUGCAUCUUUUACAAUUAAAACUUACCAACAGUGACGCAGGGGAAAGAGGCUUCUUCCAUUAACAAAAAGAAUGAUGAUGACCUUCAGGAGCUUUGGCUGAGUAAGAACUAAGAAAUCUGGGACGAAGGAGCUGCUCCAAACUAUAAGCUCCUCCCUGAAAAACAUGGUGAAUUGUGACAAGAUAUUAAGAAACUUUUUCUGUAACAUUUUACCCUUCCAAAAACAUAUGAAAGAAAGCACAGUGAGGGCAAGUCCCUGGAUUUAAGAGAAACGACACAACUUUGCAGUUUCUGGGAACAAUCUCAUGUAUGUUGGACUAUUAAUUUCAUAAAAUCAUAAAACCAUAGAAUCAUCAAGAUUGGAAAAGACCUCUGAGAUCAGUCCAACCAUCCACUCGUCACCAGUAUUUCCCACCAAACCACAUCCCUCAGUACAACACCUAAAUGUUUCUUGAACACCUCCAGGGAUGGUGACUCCACCACCUGUUAUGGUUGUCAGAAACUUGUGGAAUCCAUCAGCCUGCUGCAGAGGUCUGGGCUAUUGAGAGCAGUCUGACCUCCACGGAUGGAAUUUGUUGGUCUCUCGGCACCAUCUGAGCUGCAAGAUAACUUUGAUGACAUUUCUGGAGGAUGAAGAGCAGCAAUGAUAACUGAGACUAUACGUGUGAGUGCCAUUCAAAAGGGCUUAGGAAAUAUCAGUCACACCCUGAGGGUACAUCUAAUCUGGACUGCACUCCCUGCUCCUAGUCAAUACACAUUUCAUCAUGUCAUCCAAGCUGAUUGCCAAGAAUCCUUCCUACUGAAUCAUAUAUUUCUGAGCUGCCAUCACUCCAAACUGCAUGGCUGCCAUGUUCACAUCUACUGGUGUCAGCACUGCAAAAGGAGAUGAGAAAGAUCCUUAUCCCCAUUUGACAACCCUCUCCUGGACCAGAACAGAAGCACAUGGAUCCUAUCCCUCCUUCUUCCCUCCUUUAGCAAAGUCGGACAUAACUGGAGCAGAAGCUUCAACAGACAUAGCAGCAGACUCCUGUUCAAGUGCUCUGAAGAAGGGUAAGGAAAGUGAGAGUUCAUGUGGUAAAAUAACAAAACAAAUAUCUGAAUGGCCACAGAGUGCAUGUUGUGAUUUGAGAGGUUUGUGGUUUUAAAUAAAGUAUAAAUGAGCAAUAAGAUUAGAAACUUCAUUUGUUAAAGUUUGCAUUUCCC